GGAAGGAUGGCACAGUGGCUUAGUGUCCCAGAGUGGGACUUGGGAGACCCGGGUUCAAAUCCCUGUUCUGCCA
rnacentral:tRNA from 1 species